rnacentral:rRNA from 1 species
UGGGGAAUAUUGCACAAUGGGCGAAAGCCUGAUGCAGCAACGCCGCGUGAGUGAUGAAGGUCUUCGGAUUGUAAAGCUCUGUCUUUUGAGACGAUAAUGACGGUACCAAAGGAGGAAGCCACGGCUAACUACGUGCCAGCAGCCGCGGUAAUACGUAGGUGGCGAGCGUUGUCCGGAUUUACUGGGCGUAAAGGGUGCGUAGGCGGAUGUUUAAGUGAGAUGUGAAAUACCCGGGCUUAACUUGGGUGCUGCAUUUCAAACUGGAUAUCUAGAGUGCAGGAGAGGAGAAUGGAAUUCCUAGUGUAGCGGUGAAAUGCGUAGAGAUUAGGAAGAACACCAGUGGCGAAGGCGAUUCUCUGGACUGUAACUGACGCUGAGGCACGAAAGCGUGGGUAGCAAACAGGAUUAGAUACCCUGGUAGUCCACGCCGUAAACGAUGAGUACUAGGUGUAGGAGGUAUCGACCCCUUCUGUGCCGCAGUAAACACAUUAAGUACUCCGCCUGGGAAGUACGAUCGCAAGAUUAAAACUCUAAAGUGAAUUGACGGGGGUC